CGUUGAAAUAUUAGUUCCCAUAUGAUCACCAAAUUUAAGCAAUGUUGAGCCUGGUCAGUACCUAGAUAGAUGACUGCUUGGGAAUACCAGGUGCUGUAAG